rnacentral:rRNA from 1 species
AUUAGUUGUUUAACUGUGGCAAAAGAAAGUUUGUGUUUCAUUAACUGCAUAAAAUUAGUUUAUUUUUAAGUAUGAUUUAGUGUUAUUUAUUUUAUUUAGCAGUUAGUUUUUUGUUAAAACUAGAGUUUUAAAAGGGUGAAACAUUAGAAGGGGAUAGGACACAGUGCCAGCAUCUGCGGUUAAUCUGUUUUCUUUGUUUUUGUGUAGAUUGUGUGUGUUUAUUUAUCUUUAAAAAUAGGUUAAAUUUUUUUAUUUAAGUUUUAAGUAUUCAUUUUUAUAUAAAAUUUAUAUUUGUGACAGGGAUUAGAUACCCCAUUAACGUAUUUUGUAAUAUUAUCUUAGUUAGUAACUAAAAUGGUUUGGCAGUGAGUGAUUCUUUUUAGGGGAAGGUGUGGUGUAAAGGAUGUUCCGCCUAUUAAUUUACUUUUAUUAUGUUGGUGUAUAUCUGGUUUAAUAUUAUCGUUGAGUGAUGUAUAAGUUUGUGUAGGUUUUAGUUAAGCUAAGUCUAUGUGCUGCUUAUAAAAGUAUACAUGCGUUACAUUGAUAAAGUUUUAGUUGUAAGUGCUAUUAUAUUCAGGACUUAAAAGUAACGUUAAAUUAGUUUGUUAAUGUGAAGUAAGUUUAGCUCAUGUACACACCGCCCGUCACCCUCGAUUUAUAUUGAGGUAAGUCGUAACAAGGUAACUUUAAAUGAAUUUGAAGUUGGUUACUAAGUGGAAUUGCUUAGUUUUA